rnacentral:rRNA from 1 species
CUACGGUGGGCUGCAGUGGGGAAUAUUGGACAAUGGGCGAAAGCCUGAUCCAGCCAUGCCGCGUGUGUGAAGAAGGCCUUCGGGUUGUAAAGCACUUUCAGUGGGGAAGAAAGCCUUGGGGCUAAUACCCUCGAGGAAGGACAUCACCCACAGAAGAAGCACCGGCUAACUCCGUGCCAGCAGCCGCGGUAAUACGGAGGGUGCGAGCGUUAAUCGGAAUUACUGGGCGUAAAGCGCGCGUAGGCGGUCUGAUAAGCCGGUUGUGAAAGCCCCGGGCUCAACCUGGGAACGGCAUCCGGAACUGUCAGGCUAGAGUGCAGGAGAGGAAGGUAGAAUUCCCGGUGUAGCGGUGAAAUGCGUAGAGAUCGGGAGGAAUACCAGUGGCGAAGGCGGCCUUCUGGACUGACACUGACGCUGAGGUGCGAAAGCGUGGGUAGCAAACAGGAUUAGAUACCCUUGUAGUC